rnacentral:lncRNA from 10 species
AGAAGCUCAAGUUCACCAUGAGCCACAGCAGUAAGCCAUGCUUUAGCCUCUGACCUGUGCUCCAAUUUUGGUACAAUGAUUUCUGCCAUGUUCUCCAACAGGGUGAGGAAACAGACAGCACUAAGAGAAAAAGCUGGAACUCAAAACCAAAUUAACUCCAAACUUAAGUUUUCCCACUUCGACAAGAAAAGGAACUGCAUGUGUUUUUCUGCCUCUUGCGGAUGUAUGUCAUAAAAGUUGGAUGCCUUCCUUUCAAGACAUUUGAAUGGAUCACCAAAUAAUUACCUACUUUUCUCUCACAACUCAGAUAAAUAAUUAAAAGGAGAUAUACACAGAUUGGUUGCAUACUUAAGAGUGAGAAUCAAUUAAAACAAAAUUGUAUGC